rnacentral:rRNA from 1 species
CCUACGGGAGGCAGCAGUGGGGAAUAUUGCACAAUGGGGGAAACCCUGAUGCAGCAACGCCGCGUGAGUGAAGCAGUCAUUCGUGAUGUAAAGCUCUAUCAGCAGGGAAGAAAAUGACGGUACCUGACUAAGAAGCCCCGGCUAACUACGUGCCAGCAGCCGCGGUAAUACGUAGGGGGCAAGCGUUAUCCGGAUUUACUGGGUGUAAAGGGAGCGUAGACGGCGACGCAAGUCUGAAGUGAAAUGCCAGUGCUCAACCGCGGAACUGCAUUUGAAACUGUUUUUCUUGAGUACCGGAGAGGUCAUCGGAAUUCCUUGUGUAGCGGUGAAAUGCGUAGAUAUAAGGAAGAACACCAGUGGCGAAGGCGGAUGACUGGACGGCAACUGACGGUGAGGCGCGAAAGCGUGGGGAGCAAACAGGAUUAGAUACCCUUGUAGUC